GUCAAAUUGACUUAAGAAAAAAAGCAAAUGACAGGAUUUGCUGACUCACAAGGUGGGGCUCAUGGGCAGUUGAAUCUGAGGAUGUGAGGGAUGCUGACAAAAUCUGAUCUUUCUCUCUGCCCAUAGGUCACUCUCCCAGUGACCCUUCAUCUUGUGGCUCUGAAUUUCUUUGUUGGCUUCAAUGGCAGGUAAGUAUUCUCCACUUCUUGGCCUCCAGAAACAUCAAGAUUUUGACCAUUUUAGAAGCCCCAAAAGAAAGAGAGCUCCCCAUUCUCCAAAUUCCUGGCACAAGUCCCUAUGGCUUAUUGGACCAACUUAAGUGGUCUCAUUGGGCCAACUUAAGUCACAUGUCCAUUCCUGAGCCACUCAUGGUGGCCAAAGUGAUGGGCUAUAUGAAUUGGCCAGGUCAAGCACCAUUUUUGUAGCUGAGUGCUGUUCCCCAAAGGAAAACCAAGGUGCUGGUAUCAGGAGAUGAGGACAUGGAUGCUGGGCCGAAUAAAAUAACAGGUAACCACUGCCAGAACAAACCUUACUGGCGUCAUUUAUGGAGAUUCUUGGAAGGAGGUGACUGGGAAAACACUGUGUGUUGGAGGCAAAAGGGUGGAGAUAAACCAGGACAAGAAACAAGACCUCAUCAGAUGUACAAAGGUGGGAGGCAGGACCAAUGGAACCAGAGGAGCUGCAGAGAAAUCAAGCUGCUGUGAUCAAGGAGCAGGACCUCCCAUCAGCACGGUUACGAUCCUAACAUAUUUUGGGGUAGGAGGAAGAGUAGAACAGGAUCCUGUUUCCAAAACCCCACAUUUCAAGUUCCUCUACGUGAACUGUCAACCCCAGCCCCACAGGUUCCAACAGCGACAGAAAGCCAACCAGAUUUGCCGCAGACCCAACCCCAGGAAAACUGCACGCGUGAGAAGCCAAGUCCAACGGACCCUUUGUUUCUAAAAUGGGCUCACGAUAGGACCCCACUAGAUGGACAGACCUGCUCUCCCAGAUGGGAAACACAGCCCGGCCUCCCGGGGCUCAGCGCACUGGGAGGUGACCCGAGUUUGUUGAGCCAACGACCGCCAGCCGACUUCCGUGGCCACACCAGGUCAACGGUCCAGCAAACCAUGCAGUUUUCUUGCUCAACCACCUGUUUUUUUCCUUAUCACCUUUCUGGCCCAGACCCUCGCCGAAGGCAUCAGCAGAGAUCACAUAGCCACAGAGACAGUGGCUGCUUAUCACCAAGCUCAAGGCUCCUCAGCUCCACUGGACACUCCCGAUCUACCCACUGUUUUCUGGAAAUUUUCUCCCGGUGCUCCUAGGAGUAACGCGCAUCUCCAC
rnacentral:lncRNA from 1 species